rnacentral:rRNA from 1 species
AUUGAACGCUGGCGGCAUGCCUUACACAUGCAAGUCGAACGGCAGCACGGGAGCAAUCCUGGUGGCGAGUGGCGAACGGGUGAGUAAUAUAUCGGAACGUGCCCAGUAGUGGGGGAUAACUGCUCGAAAGAGCAGCUAAUACCGCAUACGACCUGAGGGUGAAAGGGGGGGAUCGCAAGACCUCUCGAUAUUGGAGCGGCCGAAAUCAGAUUAGCUAGUUGGUGGGGUAAAGGCCUACCAAGGCUACGAUCUGUAGUUGGUCUGAGAGGACGACCAGCCACACUGGGACUGAGACACGGCCCAGACUCCUACGGGAGGCAGCAGUGGGGAAUUUUGGACAAUGGGCGCAAGCCUGAUCCAGCAAUGCCGCGUGCAGGAAGAAGGCCUUCGGGUUGUAAACUGCUUUUGUCAGGGAAGAAAUCCUCUAGGUUAAUACCCUUGGGGGGAUGACGGUACCUGAAGAAUAAGCACCGGCUAACUACGUGCCAGCCGCCGCAGUAACAC